UUACGGCCAUAUCAGUUUGAAACACCAGUUCCUGUACGAUCAGCGAAGUUAUGCAACGUCGAGUUUAGUACCUAGAUGGGUGACCGCUUGGGAAUACCAGGGGCUGUAAG